rnacentral:rRNA from 1 species
AGUCAACGCUGGCGGUAGGCCUAACACAUGCAAGUCGAACGGCAGCACAGUAAGAGCUUGCUCUUACGGGUGGCGAGUGGCGGACGGGUGAGGAAUACAUCGGAAUCUACUUUUUCGUGGGGGAUAACGUAGGGAAACUUACGCUAAUACCGCAUACGACCUACGGGUGAAAGCAGGGGAUCUUCGGACCUUGCGCGAUUGAAUGAGCCGAUGUCGGAUUAGCUAGUUGGCGGGGUAAAGGCCCACCAAGGCGACGAUCCGUAGCUGGUCUGAGAGGAUGAUCAGCCACACUGGAACUGAGACACGGUCCAGACUCCUACGGGAGGCAGCAGUGGGGAAUAUUGGACAAUGGGCGCAAGCCUGAUCCAGCCAUACCGCGUGGGUGAAGAAGGCCUUCGGGCUGUAAAGCCCUUUUGUUGGGAAAGAAAAGCAGCAGGUUAAUACCCCGCUGUUCUGACGGUACCCAAAGAAUAAGCACCGGCUAACUUCGCG